GCUGGGCGUGGUGACGCACACCUGUAUUCCCAGCUACUCAGGAGGCUGAAGUGGGAGGGUGGCUUGAGCCCAGGAGUUCAAGGCUGCAGUGAGCUAUGACGGUGUCACUGCACUCCAGCCUGGGCAACAAAGUGAGACCCUGUCUCUU
rfam:Pan troglodytes isolate Yerkes chimp pedigree #C0471 (Clint) chromosome 8, whole genome shotgun sequence.